CGUAGAAGACUAGUGUUAUUCAUCUUAAUAGGUUAAGGGUACCUAGACGGUAAUUAGUCUAAAUAUGAUACGGUUUACUAGAGUUAUAUAUAAGGAGGUGAGUAUUUAAGGAGUAGAGUUGAAAUUCAGUCAUACCUUAAGGACUGGUAAUGGCGAAAGCAACCUUUUAUCUAAUAACUGACGUUGAGGGACGAAGGCUCGGGUAGCGAACAGGAUU
rnacentral:rRNA from 1 species